CGUGGAGGGAAAGAGAAGGAACCACGAUAACAGGAAUCCCACUAACAGCCCUACUUAGUGAUUAUAAAUUAUUAAAACAGCAGAUCCCAGAAGACUCUAUGACUGGUAGCUUCCUCAAGUCCUGGCAGGAAUUGGCUAAAAUUUGUAGAAUAUGAGACAUAUCUAAAAUGUCUAAAAUUAUGCAAAAUGAUUCAGAUUUUACACCAAAUAGAAUUGAUAUGGUAAUUCAAGUUAUGGACCUCAAAAGGAUUAACUACCUAUUAUUCAUUUGCCCACAAAGGGAUAUUUCAGAGUUUUGAAACCUUACAGACGGAUCAUGGACUGGAAAAGAUUAUUUUUUAGGUACCUGACAUUAUUUUAAUAGAAACUUUAAGGAGGUGUUGAGAAAAAAUGAUUCAAGUUUCAUGGAGGUAUUUCUAUCACUAAUUAAUCCCAGAUCAGACAGCAGAAUUAUCUCUAAAUUAUAUAAUGCCAUACAGCUAUCUAAACAUGAGAAUACAGAAUAUACUGUAUAAAGAGGAAAAGGAAAUGAAGGUAUUAAUCCCACAAGAAGGCUGGGAGGAAAUCUGUCAGCCGCACUGAGUCUCCACCGGAUCAAACACAUGGCGGGAGUUUUGCUGGAAAAACCAUUUUUUGUUCCACCCAUUCAGAGACGAUAUGAAAGCAACGGGACGCCUGCUGGAGACUUGGUGGGUCCAACGGAGCCAAACCACCUCCAUGUUUUUGGGACUGGCAGUUGGACACAUGGACCAACAAAGACUAAAAACUGCUGGUUAUACUGGCAGCCAGUAAGAAAUCCAUCACCAGGAAAUGGCUUCAACUGGAUCCACCCACCAUCGACGAAUGGAUUGAAAUUGUUUACCAGAUUUAUCUUAUGGAAAAGAUUUAUUUUUCCCUCCAAGUUGAAAAAGGAAAGUUUUAUAAGAUCAGGACCAAAUGGACUGAGUAUGUAAAACCAAUUGGAUCCGACUUCAGUUGACUGUACUUUGAAUUAUGUGCCCUGCACUUUUAUGUUCUUGUGGUUUUUAUUGAUGGAGAUGGUGCAUUCCCCUUUAUUGUUCAAUUCUGUUCACUUUUGUUAUUUUUCACAACAAAAAUUAGUAAUAAUCUGUAAAAGAAAAUACCAGAAAGGCAGUAUGGACAAAAUCACUUGGACUCUCUGGUUGUAAACUCAUGUAUGAUCUUAAAUGGGUAAAGCUGUAAUUAACGAAUGUGAUGGGAAUCUGUCUUUCUAAAUAAAAAAAUAAUUACAAAAA